GAGCGCAACCCCUAUUGUUAGUUGCCAUCAUUCAGUUGGGCACUCUAGCGAGACUGCCGGUAAUAAACCGGAGGAAGUGGGAUGACGUCAAAUCAUCAUGCCCCUUAUGACCUGGGCUACACACGUGCUACAAUGGUUGGUACAACGAGUUGCGAGUCGGUGACGGGCGAGCUAAUCUACUUAAAGCCAAUCUCAGUUCGGAUUGUAGGCUGCAACUCGCCUACAUGAAGUCGGAAUCGCUAGUAAUCGCGGAUCAGCACGCCGCGGUGAAUACGUUCCCGGGCCUU
rnacentral:rRNA from 1 species